AUGCUUUUUUUUUUUUUUAAAGAUUUAUUUAUUUAUUUUAAAGACAGAAUUACAGAAAGAGGUAGAGACAGAGAGAGAGAGAGAGGUCUUCCAUCUGCUGGUUCACUCCCCAAUUGGCCACCAUGGCCGAAGUUGCACCGAUCCAAAGCCAGGAGCCAGGAGCUUCUUCUGGGUCUUCCAUGUGGGUGCAGGGGUCCGAGGACUUGGGCCAUCUUCUACUGCUAUCCCAGGCCACAGCAGAGAGCUGAAUUGGAAGUAGAGCAACCAGGACUGGAACCAGCACCCAUAUGGGAUGCCAGCACUGCAGGUGGCGGCUUAACCCAUUACGCCACAGCGCCGGCCCCCAUUCUGAUACAUUUUAAAAAAUAUUUAUUUAUUUAUUUGAAAAUCAGAGUUACAGAGAGGGAGAGGCAGAGGGAAAGAGGGCGGGAGGAAGAGAGAGAGAGAGAGAGAGAGAGAGAGAGAAUCUUGUAUCCACUGUUUCACUCCUCAGAUAGCUGCAAUGGCCAGGGCUGGACCAGACUGAAGCCAGGAGCUUCUUCUAUGUCUCCCACAUGGGUGACAGGGACCCAAACACCUGGGCCACCUUCCAUGCCUUUUCCUAGGCCAUUCGCUGGGAGCUGGAUUGGAAGUGGAGCAGCCGGGACACAAACCGGUCCCAUAUGGGAUGCCCCCUACACCACAAGCAGAGAAACAGGAGCUGCCUCUCUCAUCAGAGGUCUUACCCGAGCCUCUCCCAUUGGCCUGUACCCACAACAUGCAAGAGAGACAAGCAGACAAGCGGGGCUCCAGUUCCAUCUGCUGAGGGGCUGAGCAGGUGUAAGUGUCCAGCAGCCAGCCUUUGUCACAGCUUUCCUCUGUGUCCACCUGGAAGGGAAGAGCUCAAGAACUUAAAGAAAUCAUCUGCCCUUCUUUCCUCUUGCUGUGAGUUCUUAGCCACAGACUGUGCUAGGGAAUGCAAGCUCUGCAAAGCUUCUGGCUGUUCUCUGCAACCCCAGGAGACGGGAAACACUAGCUCCUGGCACUACUCUCAUUACCCUCUUUUGUUCCUUCUCCUAUGCGAAGGAUAUGCAAAUAUUUGAAAAUGCACGUCUUGGGUAAAUGAAAUAGUGUGUCCUUAUUCAGAGAGCUUUAAGCUUAGUUUUGGUUUCUGUUGAGUUUAGUAAUUUUACUGGAGUAACGUGUGUGCUUUGAAAUGGGGUCUGACUGCUCAUAAAAAAGAAAAGCUUUUGUAGUCACUUGUUGUUUCCUCAGGAUCUCUAAAGGCACCAAAAGAUAUUUUAGAUAGAUUCACUGUUUCUCCUUUUCGAGAAUCCUGAAAUAUUUCAUCAUGUAUGUAUAGGGUCUUUGUUUCCACAUCUUAAUUUUUUUUUAUAUUUGUUUUCAUCUACUUGAAAGGUUGAGCAAUGGAGAGAGUGGGAGAGGGAGAGGGAAGGAGACAGAGAGAUUGAGAGAGAGAGAGAGAGAGAGAGAGAGAAUCUUUCAUCCACUGCUUCACUCUGUAAAUGCCUACCACACUCAGGGCUGGGGCAAACUGAAGCCAGGAUCUCAGAUCUCCUUCCAGGUCCCCCAUAUGGGUGACAGGAACCCGAGCGCUUGGGCCAUCAUCUGCUGCCUCCCAGGACACAGUCACAGAAAGCUGGUGUGGAUGCGGAGGAGCUGGGGUGGGCUGCAAAUGAUGCUCAGAUAUGUGAUGUAGGCAUCCCAAAAGACAGCUUAACUUGCUGCACUGCAUCUGCCUUGCUUUAACCUUCAACUGUUCCAAAUGCGCUUAAAAGAAGCAAUUCUUUUAUUUUCUGCCAUCCUUACAAUGGGAUUUUUUUUCACUGGCAUUGUGCAGUAGUCCACUUCUGGAUCCUCCACCAGGCAUGGAAAGCUCGGGCACAAGCACCCCAUGAUUCUUUUCAUUUAUGUAUUUAUCUGAAAGGCAGAAUGACAGAGAGGAAGGGAGGAAGGUGAGGAGGGAGAGAGAGUGUGCUCUUCCAUCCACCAGGUGCCGGGAGCUCCUUCCAGGUCUCCCACAUCGGGGGACAGGAGCCCAAGUACCGGGGCCAUCUUCUGCUUCCUUCCCAGGUACAUCAGCAGGGAGCUAAAGCAGAAGCAGAGGAGCCGGGAAUUGGACUGGAGCUCUGGGGGUUGCGGGAUGGAGGGUGCAGGCUGCUCAAGUGGUGGCUUCUCUACACCACAGCACCCACCCCACCCCCCACCCCUCCAAGGUGAUUCUUGGUCGCUUCUGAGCAUCUCACCUAAAGCCAGCUCACAUUUGCCAUUGAGCAAAUUACAGAUCAAAUAAUUCGCUGCACCUGGCCACGCUCUUGCAGGCUCACCUGUGCUAAUUUCAGGAUUCAGACAUUGGGUAAGACUGUGGGAUGAGCCUGAUCCAGGCGGUGUCUGGGGCACAACAAACCGUGUAGGAGAUUUGUGUGCACUUGUGUGGCCCAGAUACAGAGCCCCGGCCUGAGAGGGAGGGCUCAUUUGGGCUACAGCUCAGUAGCUGUCUACAGGUAAAACAUACCCAGUCAGACAAGGCCCCUAUGGUCAUUUUUUUUUCUUUCUCAUAUUGUCUUGAAUGUGUAUAUCUGCGAUUUCCACCACAGGCCUCCUAAGCAUAUUGUUCAUAAAGCGAACUUUAAAAGGCACUUUGACAAUUUCGUCUGCUAUUUUCAACUGAGAAAUAAUACCCCAAAGAUCAGUGACGGAAUCACAAAUAGAUUUUAUUAGUUUAAAAAAGAGGGGUGGGGAUCUGGCACUGUGGCAUAGCAGGUAAAGCUGCCACCUGUGACACUGGCAUCCCAUAUGGGCGCUGGCUGGAGUCCGGGCUGCUCCACUCCCAAUCCAGCUCCCUGCUAGUUCAGUUGGGAAAGCAACGGAAGAUGGUCCAAGUUCUUGGGUCCCUGCACCCAUAGGAGAGACAUGGAAGAAGCUCCAGACUCCUGCCUUCAGCCUGGCCCAGCUAGGCUGUUGUGGCCAUCUGGGGAAUGAACCAGUGGAUGGAAGACCUCUCUCUCUCUCUCUCCCUCUCUUGCUCUCUCCCCUUUUCCCUCCUCUAUUUCUGUCACCUUGCCUUUCAAAUAAAUAAAUAAUAUUUAAAAAAGAAAACCCA
rnacentral:lncRNA from 1 species